UCUUCAUCUGGGUUUCAGAAACCCUCUCGUUGAAUCACGCCUCUGAAGAUUUUUAGUAUUCUUCAUCUUCUUCUCUCCUCUUCCUAUUGUCUCUCUCUCUCUCUCCCGCUAGAGCUCGAUCUCUCUCAUCUGUCUCACUUUGGCAUCGCACUCAAGAUCUCUCCCUAUCUCCUCUCUGGUCUCGCAAUCGAGGUCAUCGUCGCGUCAUAGAGCAUCGCCAUCUUGUGCGUUCUAGAGAGCGUUGCCUUCCUUCUGGUUCCAGAGAGCGUCGCCUUCCUCCUGGUUCCGUCUUCCUCGCCAUCUUCUUUGCCGUCUUCCUCAUUCUUCAUCACUGUCGUCAGCCUCUCCCUUCCAUGGGAAAUCAUGGCAUAGUGGACGCCAUUUUAUGGAACAUUAACAAAAGCGAAGAGAACUAAAUAGAGGAAAACACGGUCAUACAGAGAAAGUGAAGUGAAAAGAAAAAGAGAUAAAGAGAGAGAGGAAAGAAUGAGUGUUUCUUUGACUGUGAUGACCUUCAAACUGCAUGAUGAUCAAGCAGAAGAGGAGGAGGGACUUAUGUAUUAGUGUAAUCACAAGUUACUCUCCCAUCAUCCUUUGUACCCAGCAAGAUUAUCUUAAUCAAAGGCUUUGUGUGGAGAACAAGUUGGAACACUAGCUGACCAAACUAGAUCAAUAAGCUAACAUUUAAUUCAACCAAAUUCAGUUAUAUUAGUUAGCAAGCUGGUGCCGUUAAGUUGAGCACUAUGAUGGAUGCCUCGAGAAGAAAAUAUAAAAAAGACCAAACAGUUUCAGAGUACAUGGUGCAAUCAAUGGAAACUGUGUUUUGGAACUGAAAUCCCCAGUUCCAUAUCCCUAAGAUUUGAGAUGGUGUUGUAUUUAAGUAUGUAUUUCUGUAGGAAAAAAAAA